GUGCUCCAACAAGUCUAUGUCUCUUCUGUGCUGAGGACUCCACAUCUGGACACAGUACUUCAGGUAGUUCAGGCAGAACCUGCCCUUGGUGAAGCCAUGCUGGUUAUCCCAUAUCACCUCCCUGCUCUGCUCCAUGAUCUUCCCUGUCACUGAGGUGAGGCUAAAAGGUGAAUUAAUGAAGCCUUCAAGGUAUAUUGUGGUGUAUGGGAACUGCUGAGUCAUGGCCUGAACCACUGAUUGAGCACCUGGAGGAAAGACCCUGUCAGCCCUGGGAGUACAGGUGAAGGCAAUUCACCUGUGUGACCAGAAGCCUGGCUCCACCCCUCUUAGGCCUCCUUUAAGUGCUGACUUCCACUGAGGAAGGAUCUUUUUCUGCAGAUCCCUCCUUCGUGGGAGCCUUUUCCUGCGAACCCUAUAUCUUCUGAUCUGGGUGAGCAAUCUAUUUUCCUUCCGUUGUUGCGCCUUGCUAUUGUGCCGGUCCUUCCACCUCUUUGUAACACCUUUUCCAUCGCGUUUGUCCUUCUGAUUGCUACAUGUGGUUACUAGUAUUUGGUUUUUUAGUUGAUGUGAAAGAGAGGAAUUAAUAGCCAAUCUCAGUUCUGUGCCUUUCAUUUCAACAGAGAAUAUGCAGAUCUUUGUCUUGGAAUUUAUGUCACUUUUCUUUCCUGGUACCCAAAUCAACCACAUAUCUUUAAUCUUAUACUUGAGAAAUGACUGGCAUCAUAAAUAAGGUCUUGUUAUUUAAUGUAUGACUAAAUAUUUAUUUGUCUGCAGUCAAUGAAUUAGAAAAUUGAAAUGGAAAAUCCUUUUGAGAGGUCUUUGCUGCUACCUUUUGUCUCGACUGUCUUGGGAUAUAAGGAAGAGGGAUAUGAGUCUAUUGAAUAUAAUUCACUGAACAAAUUUUUGUUCUUGUGAUAUGUUGUGGAUAUACAAUAUUGUAGAUGCAUUUAUUUUGAAGCUCAACUUGAUAUAGGUUGGCUUAGCAACAGGGAUCUAUAUAUUAGUUUAAGGAGCAAUACAUUAAUUUAGUAAAAGGAAUCAGUGUGUGCUAGUUCUAAAACUUUCCAGUUUAGCUUUGCUUGGUAUGUGAACAGCUUUGUUUUUCUCAAUGAGCUUGCUUCACAGAAGCACUGAAGUCACAAUAAGACUACUUUUAUCCUCUAGUCCACUAGGUGCAAGGACUUUUUCUUGAGUUCCACAUAAAUUGUUUUGAGUUAUAGCGCACCAAGAAGGAAAGUUGUUCAUUAUGGCAUAACAAGCAAUGGGAAUUUGACAAAUUGUGGAAAAACAGCUAAAGGUCAGCCAAAAGUCCCUGUGAUGAAGCUGAUGGAGAAAUAAAAGGGAGGAAGCAGGCGGUUGUAUGACCAGCUUAGAUGCAACUGCACAUGCUCAGAAGGACAUUAGCAAAUAUUAAUGAGUUCUCUGGAAAAAAAAAAAGUAUGCCAAUGCAUUGCAUAUGUAUGUCUUAACUGUUUAAAUGUAGAACCUGAACUGUGAGAGCGUGCGUGCACUUGAUUUAUUGAGUCACUCCUCACGUACUUUGAGGAAUAAAGGAAUGCCACUUUCUAACAUCAGAUUGAAGUUAGAGAGUUUUCUUCCCAGAUUUCAGAUGACAAACUCAAAUUCCAAUUGACCAGAGAGUAACUCUGACUUUACAUAAUAAUCAGUUAUCUCCUAGCUUCCAGCACUGGAUGACGUCUCGUAUUGUUUAAUAAUGAUUUUUUUUACAAUGAGAAUUGUGAAAAGACUCUGGUUCACAUAGUUCAUAUGGUAGCAAUUUAUUGCCUGACUGCAGGUUUAUUAAAUCUCUCUGUCACUACAAGGUUAUUAUAGCAGUUAGAUAUAGACAGAUAUUUUAGGCAUGAACUUGCUGUUGUGACUUCAGAAAUAUUGAGUGCUCUUGGUUUGAAGUUCUGAUGAGAAAUAAAUCCUUCUUGUGACGUUUUUAUACCAUGUGGAAGUGUGAGCAACAGCACCUGGCAAGCAAGCUGUCUUCUUUAAAUGUAAAAAGCCAGCUGCUCUUCAGGUUGGAGAAGAAUUUAGCAGGAAAUAGAAGUCUACUUAAAUGUUUGUUGCUUAGAUCUGCAAAAGAAAAACCAUACUUUAUGAUCUGUCCUCUGGACACUGGGAAAACUAUAUUUCUAUCAUAUGUAUUUUAUAUUUGAAAGUGGUACUCAUUUUCAAGUGAACAGUCUACUUAACCGAUUCAUCACUGUUCCUAUCUCAUUUAUGUAACCAGACAAGUAACAAAAUCAACCUCUUAUGGAAAAUAAACAGAACUGGAUGGAAAGCUCUUUCAGGAUACAGUAAGGGUGGUAUUUCUGGAUUUUUCUUUAUAUGGGUUCCCUACUUUCCCUAUUCUUGUAUGUGCAUCAAAUGGAGUCUAGUUUAAUAAGAUUCAAAUGGAUCUGCUUUCUGAUUACAUAAAACUAUGUUCUAAGCAGACUGAUUAAAUUAAGAGAUGUUUUCCUCAGCAGAGGAAAAUAAACUCCAAAAUAAAUGUUUCUUGCUCUUGAAAGCCCUAGGUGACAACUGCCUCAUAAUACACUAGGAAGAAAAAUUAUCAGACUUUAAAUGUAGGUGAGAUGAUGCAAGACUGGUAUAAUUAACUGACUAUGUGUUUUCUGACUGUGCAAGAUAUUUCAUCUGAUUUCUUCAGCAAAUCAUAAAAUCACUAAGGUUGAAAAAGACCUCUAAGAUCAUCUGGUCCAACCAUCAACUAUCAAUAAUUUACUUAGUCUUGCAACUGUCUAAAUCAGCCACAUAUGUCUUCAUAGUAUAUGUGCCACACAUCUUCCAAAUAUGAGCCUUUAAUAACAGAAAGCAACUGAACUGCAGGUCGUCUUUAGUUUCCAUUAAGCAGUGAGAGGAAAAAAAAAAAUUGAAAUGCUUCAGCAUGCAAGAAAGAUUUAUAUAUCAAAGUACAGCUCCCAGCCUCCCAAAAUCUGAAAAGCUGUUAUAAAUAUCACCAAUAUAUUUUUUCAGUAUAUAUUUAUUUUUAUAAAUUUUCUAGUUUUCUGAUAAUUCUACUCCAAUACAUCUAGCAUUAAUUUUAGCUGACAGCCUCAGUCAAAUGACAUUAUAAUCCACUGAAAAGAUUUCCUUUUAGUGCCUGGAAAAAAAAUAACUUUCAGGGAUCUAUUUUAAUCUGUAGGUAGAUUAUACUGUGACAGCUACAGCUUUGGCUUGGUUCCCAAGGAGACUUCCUCUAUUUAUAUUUCAUUUGUUAUUGGUUUUUGAUUUCCUUCUUAUGAACGGCCAAAUCAUAUUAAUCCAUCCAAUCUACCUGACUCUUCUGCCAACAAAACUGUUCUCAUACCCUGCUGCAGUCUCCAUGUUUGUCGAUGGGACAGUGAGGGAAUGAAAACAGUUCUGUAACGACCAUACAGAAAACGCUGUCUAGAAACAUUGAUUUCUUUUUGCAGAGCUCUCCUCAGUUAUUUAAAUACUAUGAUAUUUUCUCCAAGAUUUGUGAACUGAUACAAAGAGAGAAAGUUCCUGCCAGUGCAGUACUGAAAACUAAGUAGGCCAAAAGUACAUGUGCCAUCAAUAAUACUCUCCUGUCCUAGACUCCUGCCACAUAAACACUGAAGCAUCUGCUCAUCUUUGCUUGUGUGAACAGCUCUUCUAUUUCACUGGGCAGUAGGGUAAAUUUACGUUUUAAGACAUUCUUAUUUGCAGACUCAGAUUUUAAGGCAUGGUAUUUACUUGUCUGUGUGUCAGCAUCUACUGCCAUUUAAGAUGCUGUAGGUUAUCCCUCCUGGUUUUCAGCUACUGUUCCAGAAUAGUGCAGGUUUAUACUAAGUUUCAGGUUACUUCCCACUCAGAAGUUUCUGAUAUCCUUGAGCAUAUACAAUGACCUGUAUGUUAUCCUAGCUGUCAUCACACUAGAACAAGGACUUGAACAAAUAUGACUCAAUGCAAUUGAGAGAAUAGCUUUUGUUAACUCCUAGGAGUGAGAUUUCCAAGCAGAAUACCAUGUACUGUAUUUUUAUUUACUAAAUUGUACUGAUACCUUCAGGGGAAAGGAUGUCAUCAAAUUACAAAAUGUUACAAGCUAUAAGCAAUAAACUAGAUGGAACCAAAACA